rnacentral:sRNA from 1 species
UUUUGUUAUAUAUAGCACAUGAAAUCUUAUUCAUCAAAACACUAAAUUUUGUUUCUUCUCUCAAAUAUAUCGUCGUCUUCAUUGCUUAAGUCAUGAAUCGUUUAUGCUUUUUUAACAAAGUUGUAAAAGUUGCCCGUGGUGAUUCACCUCCUUUUGAUCUUGCUUCUUUACCUCCCAAAGAACAACGAGAUGUAAAAUUGAUUUUGCUUACUUUAAGAUUGCAGCUACUUACAAAUAUAGUUUAUGUUAUCUUUAUAUGACCUAAAUUUCUCUUUUUUUGUAGUUGAUUGGUGAAACUUUGUUCUUUAUGGUGGAAGAACUUGAGCCACAGUUUGCACCAAAAAUCACAGGAAUGAUUCUUGAAUUGGACCAAGACAAGGUCCUUCAUCUGCUGGUAACACCUAAAGCCUUCAAAGAAAUGGUCAAAGAGGCAAUGGAGGUCCUAGCGCACUCCUUUCUGCAACAGAUGAAAAUUGCUAGGGGAAAAAGAUGUUAGCAAGUUCCUACCUUCCAUGCUCCCCGCUAAACUUUGAAAUGUUUGUUUGGUUUUUGUUCAUUAAUAUGAGCAACAAAAUGUGGCUUUAAGUUGAGUUUUAAAUCUUUGUUUUCAUUUAAAAAAAA